UUCCCUGUGGCUCAGUUGGUAGAGCAUGGUGUUUGCAACGCCAGCAUGGUGUGUGCAACACCAGGGUUGUGGGUUUGAUUCCCACGGGGGACC
rnacentral:tRNA from 1 species